rnacentral:rRNA from 1 species
GUUAUCCGGAUUUACUGGGCGUAAAGCGCCCGUAGGCGGCCUGACAAGUUGGACGUGAAAGCUCCUGGCUUAACUGGGAGAGGCCGUUCAAAACUGUCAAGCUAGAGUCUGGAAGAGGAGAGCGGAAUUCCCGGUGUAGUGGUGGAAUGCGUAGAGAUCGGGAGGAACACCAGUGGCGAAAGCGGCUCUCUGGUCCAAAACUGACGCUGAGGGGCGAAAGCGUGGGGAGCGAACGGG